UACGGGAGGCAGCAGUGGGGAAUAUUGCACAAUGGGCGCAAGCCUGAUGCAGCCAUGCCGCGUGUAUGAAGAAGGCCUUCGGGUUGUAAAGUACUUUCAGUCGUGAGGAAGGUGUUAAGGUUAAUAACCUUAGCAAUUGACGUUAGCGACAGAAGAAGCACCGGCUAACUCCGUGCCAGCAGCCGCGGUAAUACGGAGGGUGCGAGCGUUAAUCGGAAUUACUGGGCAUAAAGGGCACGCAGGCGGUUAAUUAAGUUGGAUGUGAAAUCCCCGGGCUUAACCUGGGAAUGGCAUUCAAGACUGGUUAGCUAGAGUCUUGUAGAGGGGGGUAGAAUUCCAUGUGUAGCGGUGAAAUGCGUAGAGAUGUGGAGGAAUACCGGUGGCGAAGGCGGCCCCUGGGACAAAGACUGACGCUCAUGUGCGAAAGCGUGGGGAGCAAACAGGGAUUAGAUACC
rnacentral:rRNA from 1 species